CAAGGUUAUAAAAAAAAACCCCAAACUCCGCCCGCCGCCGCGGCUGCUGCCGCCGCCGCCGCCCAGGGCCUCAGGUUGGACGCAAGCCAAAGACCCCGGAGCCCGGAUUACCCCGCCUCGCGAAGGGCGCCCGUGUUCUGCCUGCUUUUAUGGCUGCAUACCAUGUGCAUACAGUGUCUGGGAGGCCAGACGAGGGCACCAGAAACUGGAGUUACAGAACGUUAUGAGGUGCCAUAUGGGUUCUGGGGACCAGACUCCGUGUCCUCUGAAGAACAACCAGUGUUCUUAGCUACUCUGCUAUCUUUCAAACCCUGUCUAUCUAUUUUUGAAUAGUUGGGUCUCAUUGUGUUGCCCGUGUUGGCUGGGAAGUUCUGUGCUCAACCGUUCCUCCUUCCUCAUCCUCUUGAGCACCUGAGACAAGGGUUACACAGCAUAGAGCUUGAAUGGGGUGGGAUUUAAGAUCAGUACAGUUGUAGUCAACAGGAAAAGGAGGCCUCCUACAAGCAUAAAAACAGCCAGUGAAGGAGACCGUGGCCCCAGGGCCAUCGUUCUUUCAGCUCCCAGCAGGCUGUUCCAGAAAACCACAGCUGAGCUUUUAUUCAUUCACCCCAUCUUUAUUGAUGACUAAUUUGUGCCAGGUGUCCUCCCUAGUAUUGUGAAGACCAGGAGCAAGGGCCCAUUCCACUGAAGAUAUAGACUCUGCCUCAGGGCCUUUGAGCCUGCUCUUCCCAUUGCCUGCUCAUUCUUGUUGGAAUACGAGUGAGUAUCAAGUCUGUAUCAAGCCGAUUUUGUCUUUCCAGUCUCAACCCAAACAUCAUCUUCUGCAAGCCUGUCCUGACCUCACACUUCAAUGUCACACCCUCCCACGUCCCUUUUCCCGUUUCCUGGUUUAUUUUACUCCUGCCAGAAGUCACUGUCUAGUCUACUUCAGAAAAUGCUUGUUUGUUUUUAUUGAUAAUCCAUCUUGUCCACCAAAAGACCAGUUCAUGAGGGAAGGAUCUUUUGUCUUCCAUUUAUUUAUUUUCAAAUUUUUUAUUUGGGGGGUUAUAAUAAAAUUACAUUAUUUCUCCCUUUCCUUACCUUCUCCCAACAUCUUCCAUGUACCCCCUACCCAGGUCUUUCAAAUUCAUGGCCUCUUUUCCCUCUUUUACUUUCUGAGGAUAAGUAAAGAAAGUAUAUGUAUGUGUAUGUAUGUAUAGAUGUAUGUAUGAUUAUGUUAAUAAUUCAACCUCCUUUGGGAAUGUUUAACCAUUUGGUGUUGGAUAACCAGUUGGUGUGCCCUUCCCUGGGGAAGACCAUUUCUCCCUUUCUCGGCAUUCUUUAGUUGCCUGUAGUUCUUUGUUUGGGAUUUCCCCCUUCUGUGUUAUUCCCUGUUCAAAUUGUGUCUAGGCAGUCAUGCUUGUGAGAUUUUACCAAUGUAACAGUCUUAUAGCAAACUUCCUGACGUUCUGACUUUUACUAUCCUUUUGCCCCUUCUUCUUUGAGCCUUUGUGUGGGAGUGUUUUGUAAAUAUAUCCACCCUGGGCUUGACAACUGCCUUUUGAUCCUUUGUGAUUUUCUGUAAUAUCCUCUGUCUGUUGCAAAGAGGUCUCCUUGAUGAGAGGCCAGAACUACCCUUAUGUGUAUGUAUAAGGGAAUGUAGUUUUUCUCAUCUCUGGGGUUCGCAGGAAUAUCCCCUAGAAUCUUAUAGAGUGUUGAAUAAAUAAUAAUUGAAAGAAUGAGCUGAUAGAAGGCAGAGUGGUGACACGGUGCUUUUGUUUAUUUAGUUUUGUUUUUUGAGACAUAGUCUCAUAUAACCCAGGCUGGCUUUGAAUAUGUUGUUUAGUUGAGGAUGACCUUGAACUCCAGAACCCUUUGACUCUACCUCCCAAGAGCAGGAAGACACCCUGGACCACCGAGUCCUGCCGAUGCACUUUGAAUGUUAAUGAUUUGUUCUAGGACAAGGAUCAGUAAGGGCAAAGCUUAUGUGACCAAUAGUGUUUUAAGUCAGCUUGGACUGACUUUUAAAAGCUCUUUUAGGGGAAGAUGUAAUUUACAGUGAAUGUUUAGAAUUCUAAGAGAUCACACUGCAGGUCUGCCACUUAGGGUGCAGUGGAAUCCUAUUGUUACUUUAGGACUUUGGAAUAUGGCAAAAGGGGUAGUUAAUAACAAUAUGUCGAGCCUUAUCUUUGUGUGUGCAUGUGUAGUUUGUGUAUGUGUGUGUGUCUACACUCACUCAAUUGUGUGUGGGUACAGAUGGAGGACAGAGGUUAACCUUUGGUCUCCUUCUUCUCCACUUUUUUAAUUGUUAUUUUUUUUUAAAAAAAAGGAUUUACGUUAAAUUAUGUGUAUGUGGUUAUGAGUGUAUAUGUACAUGUGUGCAGGUAGGUGCCGCCCAUAGAGGUCAGAGGUGUUGCCUCCCCUUGGACCAUAAGCCUGGGAAGUGAGCUCAGGCCCUCUGCAAGACAUUUUAGCUGCUGAACCAUCUCUCCAGUCCCAUAUAUUUUGAUUUUGUUUUGUCUUUCUUGGGACAGGGUUUCUCUGUGUAGUUCUGGCUGUUCUUGAACUUGUUCUGUAGACCAGGCUGACCUCUGCUUUCCUCUGCCUCCUGAGUGCUGGGAUUAAAGGCCACCACCACCCAGCAUAUCUUUUGAUAUUUUAAAGACAAGUUCUUAUGUAUUUCAGGCUGGCUUCAAACUCUCUGUGUAGCUUAUGUUGGUUUUAAAAUCUUGUUUCUCUAGCCUCCAUCUCCCAAGUGCUAGGAUGACAGGCAUGUGCUACAUUUAUGACAUGGUUCCUAUCAUUGGGACUUGAGGCACAUUGAUUAGGGCUAGACUGUCAGGCCAGUGAGCCCCAGGGAAUUCUCCUGUCUUUGCUCCAUAGUGCCUGGAUUAUAAGUAUGUAGCUCCUUACCUGGCUUUUUUUGCAUGUGUGCUAUGACUGAACUACAGGGCCUCAUGUUUAAUGCAGCCAUCUCCCUAGCCUUGAGGCCGGUUUUCCCUUCACACCCACCUUGUGCAGUAGUCACUGCCUAUUUCUCACAUGGAGAAGCAGUGGCACCCCAAGGGUGACAAAUUGCUAUGGUCACACAUUUCUCGAGUGAUAAACAACCAGAAAAGAACAACUAGUCACCCAGACCCAAGGAAGGUGACAUCAGGUGCUGCAGACGCUCCCCUCAGGGUAGGAGGGAGUCCCAGAGGUCUCUGGAACUGAGUUGGUGAGGGAUGACCUCCUUUCUAAUGAUAUGUCCUUCUAGACCAUUUGCCAGGUGUUUUUCCCAGAUGGCUUAGAGGCCUCUUAAAUCUGGAGACCAAACUAUGUACUAAAUGAUCAUGUGAAUAAAAACAAACCAACACCAACACUUCCACCCGAUUUAGAGGAUAUUCUAGCAGCAUAGAAUAUUCACAGAGCUUAGGCAAGAAGUCUUAUGUUAGCCAGGCUCUCUAGAGGAACAGAACUUACGACAUUAAUAUAUAUUGAAAGACUAAUCACACUUGAGUUUGGCUCAAGCACUUAAUAUUUAAAAAGCCAAGUGCAGUGUUGGGCACCUAAGAUCCAGUCCCCAUGUGGGGAGGCAGAGACAGGAGGAUUCUCGGGGCUCACUGGACAGCACUAUAGUUCAAUUAGUGAAUUCCAGGUUCAAGGAGAUACUCUGUCUCACAAAGUAACCAUAGACAGUCUACGUUCUAUUAGUAGAACGUGUUCCUCAGCAUGCAGCACUAUCUGGGUUUGAUUUCCAGCAGUGCAUACAACUGGGCGUAACUGUUCACAGCUGCGAAGCAUCCCAUCUCUGGGAGAUGAAGGCAGAACUAGAUGCUCAAGGUCGUGAGCCUGUGAGGUGGCUCACUGUGGAAAGGGGCUUGCUGCUAAACGUAACUUGAAUUUUAACCCCAGAACCCACAUCAAGGGGAGGAGAGAAACAAUUUCUGGAAGUUGUCCUCUAAUCUCCACAUAUUUAUACACACACACACACACACACACACACACACACACACACACACUACAUGAAUGUAAGAAUUUAAAACGUUCAAUCAGGAUCAUCAGCUCUGUAACGAGUUUGAGGCAGGCGUGGGAUACAUGAGACUCAAAAAAAAAAAAUGUAAGAACACUUAACUGUUCUUGCAGAAGACUCAGACUUGGUUCCUGAUACCCAAAUGAUGACUCACAACCAUCUGUAAUUUCAGUGCUAGGGGAUUUGAUGUUUGUUAUGGCUUCUGCGAGUUCCAGGAAUGCUUGUGGUACGCAUACAUACAUGCAGGCAAAAACAUUCAUGCACAUAAACUGUAUCUUUAAAAAGUUUGUAGAAGGUUGUGUGUGAUGAUGUAUGCUUUGAAUCUUAGCAGCUGAGAGGCAGAGGCAGGUGGCUUUCUGUGUGUUCAAAGCUGGCCUGGUCUACAUAGUGAGUUCCUGGAUGUCAGGGCUAUGUAGAGAAACCCUGUCUCAAAAAUAAAUUAAUAAAUAAAUAAUGUAAAGAAUGACUAAAGAAGAUACUUGAUGUGGACCUCUGACCUGCACAUUUGUGUUCAUACAGACUUGGAAAGAUUCCCAUCAUUUGUUUAUAUAAAUACUGCUUUUAUAUAGAGAUGUUUCAGAGAGGAAUAUCAAAGUAGUGUGAGGCACGCUUAAGGCUCAAGUGUAUCUAGCAUUUCCUUUCCCUGCUGUAAACCUUCGGUUUUUCUAGGAAUCUUAUAAACACCCCCAUAUACAGGAAAGGACAAAUCUUAACCCCUUUGUGCAACCCUGUGACCCAGGGUUUCAUUUUAAAUACUGUCCCAGGCACCUUAGAGCUACCCUACAAUCUCAUUCGUCAAAAAAAGUGAGGGGAACGGGGAUAAAUUCUUAUAGCUGGAACUGUAAAGCUGCAGUGCAACUUUUGAGCCACUGAAAUUGUUUAUGUGGCUCAUGUUAAGACACUCGAAUGACUCUCCCUUGAGAAAUUUACAUCCAUAUUAGAUACGGCGAACCCUUUUCCUGAGCAGCCUGUACUUAAGUUUGGGUUAAGCCCUCUUCCUAAUAAACUUCAACUGUGCUUCAUACUGGCUUGUCCUGAAUAUUUUGUUGCUGGUGUUGGUUUUUUGUUUUGUUUUGUUUUGUUUUUGUUUUGUUUUGUUUUGAGACAGAGUCUCAUUGUGUAGCCCUGGCUGUCCUGUAACUCACUAUAAGUCAGGCUGGACUCAAGUUCAGAGAUCCAUCCACUUCUGCCUCCCCUGCAUUCAGGGGUUACAGUGCACACCACCAGAUCUGGUCCCUGGAAUUUUCUGCAGCACAGUCAAGAGUCCCAGUCUUCCUGUGAGUAACGGUCUCUGAAAAGAACUUUUCAUGGCCUGAGGACAUGACUGAAUUGGUAAGGGACUUAAGUGUGCAAGCAUGGGGAGCAGGAUUUGGCAGGUUCCUUGGCACAUAGAAGCUGGGACAUGCUUGCACAUAUUUGUGACCCCGAUGUAAGGGAGGCAGGGUGGGGGGCAGAGAUAAUGGAUCCCUGAAAUUUAUAGCCAGCCAUUCUAACCGAUUGGUGAGCUCUGGCUUCAAUGACAGACCCUGUUUCUUAAAACUAAGGCAGGGCUAAAGGGAUGGCUCAGCAGUUAAGAGGGCUUGCUAGUCUUGCGGGGAUGUCAGAUUUGAUUCCCAGUAUCCUCAUCAGGGAGCUCACAAUUACCUGUAGUUCCAGUUUCAGGGGAUCCAGUGUUCUGGCCUCUAAGGAUAGCUGUAUGCCCGCGCGCGUGCGCACGCACGCACUCUCUCUCUCUCUCUCUCACACACACACACACACACACACACACACACACACACACAAAUAAAGAUAGACUAAGAGUGGUAGUAGAAGAUACUUCAUGCCCACCACAUGUGCACCCCUCCUCUUCAUCCCAACCCCCCCCCUUGGGUCUUUUCUUUCAUCUAGCCCCUAUAAGUUGGCCCUCAAGUGGGUGACAUUUUACAAAGAGGAUUUCAUUCUCCAGACUCAGGCUUUAUCUCAGUGGGUCGAGUGUUCUUUUCUGGCAUGGAUAAAGCCCUGGGUUCUGUCUCUAUCACAGCAUAAACCAAAUGUGGUUUACACAUUAAUGGUUCUGAAACUCUAGAGGUAGAAAGGCAAGGGAAUAAGUAGUUCAAGGUCAUCCUGGGAUAUAUAGCAAGUUUGAGGCCAGCCUGAGCUAUACAAGACUUUAUCUUAAAUAUAAGAUCUGUGUAUGAAGAUUUCAUUUGCUCUUAUGGUUCGAAUGUGAGACGUCCCCCAUCGUCUCCUGUGAACACUUGGUCCCUAGCUCGUGGGACUGUUUUAAGAGAUUGUGGAAUCUUUGGGACCAAGCUUAGUUUGUAGAGGUAGGUCGCUGGGUAGGCCUCAAAGGUGUUAUCUACUUCUGGUUCUGGCCAGAGGCUUCUGCUUUCUGAUCUUCCAGUGGAAGAGGAUUGGCUGCCUCAUGUUCCUGAUGCUGUGAUGGACUGCACCCCUUGAAACCACGAGUCAAAACAAACCUUUCCUCCCUAAAUUGCUUCUGUCAGAUAUUUUGUCACAGCCGAUGAAACUGCAGGUUGUGGGCUUGAAUACUACUUUUUCUAUAAUUUAAUUUCUCUAUAGUUUCUUAUAUGGAAAAUAAGCCUAAUGGCUUGGUGUGGUUGUACACCAAGUAGUGACUCACAACUGCCUUUAAUUGUCACCAGAGGAUCUAGCAUCCUUUUCUGGCCUCUGUAGCCAGCUGCACUCAAGUGCUCACACCAUACACAUGCACAUGCACAUGCACCUAUGGGCUUGCACAAGCACAUCAUUAAAGAGCAAAAAUAAAUAAAAAAAGCAAUAACCCCCCCACCCCGCCCGACACACAAAACACAACAAUGAAAUGAACUAGAACACUGUGGAUCUCAUAGUCUCUGCAGGGUCUCAGGUGAGUGUCAGGUUGGGAAGUUUGCAUGUCUGGUCAGAAUUUGUUGGCAAAUGCCAUUGUGGAUAAGCAGAAGGUGUCCGAGUACAUAGGCCAAAUGACAGCAAUAAGGAUGAGGAAGAGGCAGGGGAUGAUUUUGACCAGGUAUAGUCGAAUGGAUCUGGGUCUCCCCUAUGGGCCCACAUGAUAUGCAAUUAGUUGGGGCCAUGGCCGUUCGGGGCAUUGUUCCAUGGAACUGCGGUUAAAAGAACACAUAGUGCUAUCCUAUAUAGACCUUGCCAGAGCCUUGAACACAUUCCCAUGCUUUGCACAGCUCUCCAAUUUACACUUCGAUACCAACCCCCAACCUUUUGGAAUCAUCUUUUAAGGGCACUGAGGAUUUUUGCAAGUAAUACUGGAAGUGGUAUCUUAGCACAAAGGGUAACGCUUGAAUAUGGAAUUUCAAGGAGGCAGAGACUUCUGGCCAAACAUCAAAGGUUUCUCCUUGGUUACUCUCCUCUGAGAACCUGGGCACUGAGAACAAGGCUGGCUUCCUGUAGUUCUCUCUGUGGUGGCCCAUUCGGGUUGCAAACUUUGGACAGGCCAAAUUAGGAAGUCAGGGAAAGACUGUGCAGGGUCAGGCCAAACUGAAAGGAGUCUGGGCUGACGAAGAAGGGGCUAAUGGAGACAGAGAGGAAGGUCCCGGACUGGAGUUUGGCUGCAGCCCUUGGAUCACGUCUUUUGAUCUGAGGUGGGGGUGGAGGAUGUCCCGAGUCUUUCGGGAAGACUGUGGAGUCCCCUGGGAUAAGAUCCAGGGGUUAGCUCAGCAGAGAAAUAUUUGAUUUCUCCUAGCUCCUCUCUCCUUCCCCAGUAUGGGGUCACAGUGGGUGACUGCAGAUGGUCCCACUCUUUUGAAAGUAAACACAGUGCCUGGUCUUCUUGGCUUGCCCCCAAACCAGCUUCCUUUAGUCUGUGCACCUCCGCAUAUUUGCAGCAUCUUUGUUUUGGAAAAGAAGGAAGAGAGGAAACCCUGGGGAUUUGAUCAGUCCUGGCUUUACUCCCCCUGAAUCCAGGCAACAUUCUAGAAAAACUCAGGGAAACUGAGAGGAAUGCAGGACUGACUAUCCCUAGCCUGUGGUGUGGUGGCUGCCAUCGUUGCUGUUGUUAUUGGAUAUAAAGCAGGGAAUCUGGGGAGAAGCAAGUCUGUCCGAGAACAACUGGAGUGAGCAGGUUCUCUCUUUUCCCCACAUGGAUCCCAGCUAUCAACUCAGGUUGGUAAGUCUUACACUGUGGGAAGGGGAGCUUCAGACUAACACUAAGCAAGUCUAAAAUACCAGAAAACGCAUGCUUCAGCUCUGACCAGCAUUUGAGAAAGACAGAGGAGAGAAAAAUAAGAAAAAGGGGAAGCCAUCUUAUCAUCUCCUUUAUUGAAAGAGGAAAAAAAUGGGGUAGGGGUGUUUUAGUUGCUGUUCCAUUGCUGUGAAGAGAUACCAUGACCAUGGCAACUCUUAUAAAAGUAAGUAUUUAAUUUAAGUGCCAGAGGUUUAGUUUAUUGUUAUCAUGGCAUGCAGGCAGACAUGGUGCUAGGGAAGCACAGGUUCUACAUGUGGAUCAGCAGGCAUCAGGAAGAAGGAGACACUGGGGCUGGCUUGGGCUUUUGAGACCCCAAAGCCUACCUACCCCAACUGACAUACUUCCCUCAGCAAGACCAUACCUAAUCUCUCUCAAAUAGUGCCGUUCUCUAAAGACCAAGCAUUCAAAAAAAAAAAAAAAAAAAAAGAGCCUACGGGAGUAUUCCUGUUCAAACCACCACACUUAGCAACCUUCAAAAGCCACCAAAAUCCAAAAUUGUAUAUAUAGUGACUGCUAAGACACAAGGGCAAUCUCCUUUCAGAAGCCCUGUCUGUUGGAGGCAUGGACCUGAUUCCCCAUUGUAGUAUCCUGGACACCUGUUGAAGUAUCCAUUUUUUUUUUCUGUCCUGUGGCAAAGCACCAAAUGGGGGCACAUGGUUGAAAAUAGAAAUAGAGCCAGUUUAUUAGGAAAGGAAAAGCAUUCCUGAGAAUGGGAGAGGCCUUGUGAGCCAAGAGAGCAACAGGCUCCAAAGUGCCAGGCCAUAGGUGCAUGGUGACCUUUAUAGAUGCACACAGGCCUCUGUUCCACAGUCUGUUACAUUGAGCCCAGAUGAGGAAGAACAUCCAGAUCUGCCAAGUGACUUUUUUUUCAAGACAGGGUUUCUCUGUGUAACCCUGGAUGUCCUGGAACUUGCUCUGCAGACCAGGCUUGUGUCAAAUCUAUAGAGAAUCCACCUGCCUCUGUCUCUCAAGUGCUGAGGUUAAAGUCACGAGCCAGCACUACCCACUGACUGACUACCCAGCUGCCAACUGACUUCUUAAGUUAAAAAAAAAUUCUCUUUUUAUAUUUGUUUACUUUUUCUCUAUGUGGGUACAUAGAUCACGGUGUAUGUAUGGAGGAAAACUUGGAGUUGGUUCUCUCCUUCCAUUAUAUAAGACCAAAAUCAAUUCAAAUCGUCAAUAUGGGCAGCAAAUGCCUUUACCCAUUGAAUUAUCUCUGAAGCCUUUGUGGGCUCUCUCUCGCCUCUAAAGAGCCAUUUAUUGACCACCUCUGUGUGAGGCCUAGCACGUUCAGGACCUAGUAAGUUCCUUUUGGGAUGUGUAGAGCUCUGUCUGGUUCCCACUGACCUGAAGGCAAAGAACAUUAUCUGUUCUGCUGAAAGCCUUCAGUGAAGAUUUCUCCUUUGCUGCAUUCUGUCUGAUUCAUGUUUCCAUCAGUGUGGUUUAAAAUUACCUUGGUGCCCACAGUGGUGCCCACCUUCAAUCCUAGCACCUGGGAGACAGAAGCAGAUUAAUAUCUGUAAAUUCAAGGUCAGCCUCUACAGAGGGAAUUCUAGGCCAGCCAAGGCUACAGUGAGACCUCAAAAACAAAACAAAUCCCAACACUCCUGAUUCAUGAUUUCCUUCGUUUUACACUAUAAGGAUUUCAUUAAACUGUUAUAACAUUAAAAUAUGGAAUUCAGGGUAGUCUGGAUAUGCGGUCCCCAUAUCCAGGUUAUGAAUGUGAAUAGGCACAAUAUGACUCCAGAAUAAGCUGUCCUUUGUUCUCCUUGAGAUUAUCUGUGCAGUAUGCUGGACGGUGGUAGCACCAUCUACCUGUACGAGAACAGGGGUUGCAGUUUAGGCUUCAGUCCUUGGAGAGGUGACUCUUGGGAAAUGAGGAUGGUGCUUAUACAGAGCCUGAGAGGGGGAGGUGGGAGCAUUCUUGGUAGAGAAACAAAGAAGUGCAAAGCCCCCAGGGCAGGAAUUUAUUUGGCUGUUCAAUGGCAAUGGGACUGGAGAGAUGGCUCAGUGGUUAGAAGCACCACUUUUGCAGAGGGCCCAUUUUGGCUCCAGGGGUUCUGAUGGCUCUGGCUUAUGAGGACACACGGAUACACACACACACACACACACACACACACACACACACACACACACACACACACACACAGAAACACAGAGAGGGGUGGAUGUCAAAGGACAAUUUUAAGAGUAGUUCUCUCCUUCCACAGGUGGGUUUAGGAUGGAGCUCAGUUUGUCUUUCUUGUUGGCAAGUGUCUUUGCCUGUUGGGUCCCAUGUCACAGGUCAGGAAUCAAGUUCUUAACCCCUUAAGCUGUUAUGUGAAUAACUCCUGUGCAGAACUACCUUAUAAAGACUGUAAUAUUCAUAUAAGGUAAGUUAGAUAGCUCAGUGAAUAAGGGAGCUUACUGUCAAACCUAACGAUCUGAGUUUGAUCCAUGGCAUCUAGAAGGUGGAGGGAGAGAGCCAACUUCCCUGUGCUGUCCUCUAACUUCCACACAUGCACCGUGGCACGUGUAUGUGCACGCACACAGGCACGCACACACACACACACACACACACUACAUAAAUAAAGAAGUGUAAAAAAUGAAGUGAUGGCUCACUGGCGUAUACUGAGCGUGCAUGAAAUAUUAGGUUAUCAUUAUGUGUGGUAGACUUGUGUAUUUUGGGGUGUGUCUGAUGUGUAGCCAAGCCCAGGACUCAAGAAAGAAUUUAACACUAUUUAACCCCAACCCUCCCUGCUGGGUGUUCGAAAGGCUUGCUGAGGUUGUGACUUUCUGGCUGGAGACAGCUCUUUUGUAUAGCAGAUGUUACCCAGCCAUCAAGCCAGGGUCAAUUGGAGAUUUGGCGCCUGCCUCUCUCCCACGGCCUGCCUGCGAGGGAGCCCAGUGCCCUCCCUGAGAUGUCUGUGAAUUCCCAGGGCCUCUGUUCUCAUGGUUGCAUCUUGGCUUAAGUCCCUGCCUGCUGCCUGCUCCUGGGGGCUGUCUUUGGCGGGGUGGGGGGAACCAGCCCAGUUUGUUCAUUCUCCCCCAGACCAGCCUUGUUUAUGCAUCCAAUUGCUUGCAGGUCCAUAACUCCUCCAAAACACAGUGCCCUCCCUGACAUCCCACCAUUCCAAGGGUUCUGACAUUGUUUAGCUUCCUCCAGUAAGAUCUAGCCUGACAAAGAAUUCCAGUGCUGGCAGGAAAAACUUGCACAGUUCUUGCAUAACACAGCCAAGAGUGUUAUGACUGGCUUAGAGCUAAACAGGCUGUUGAGAGAUGGGGAAAUCUCACUGAGGACACCCAAGGUCAAUGGCUGUGUGAGGACACCGGACAGGCCUUUUCCUUGGCAAGCUGGCAUAAGACCAAGUGAGGUUAGGAGUCCAGUCUGCAGGCGGCACAGGGGCUGGUACAGUACUAACAUCAGGGCUUGCUCUCAGAUUGAGGUAGUGACACAGGGAGACAAAGGGAGCAGUUAAUCCCGGGUCAGUAUCAAAAAAUCAUCUGUUAGUGGUUUUUUUUGGUGGUGGUGGUGCUGGUGAGCUGAAGGAGGAGGCACAAGUCCCUAGAUGUUAUCCUCAGCAGACUGAGAUUUCAUAGACUUCAGGGACUUUCACUCAGACCAAACUGAGAUUUGUGGCUGCAAAUCAGAUAAGACUUUUGGGACUAGCCAGUUUAUAAAGAUUUGGGAUUUAAUUUAAAUACAUACAGUUACACACAGACAGACAGACAGACAGACAGACACACACACACACACACACACACACACACACACACACACGGGUUGGUGAGCUGGUUUAGUUGAUAAAGUGUGCUUGUAGCCAAGCCUGACUUUCGAAGUUCAAUUCCUGGGAUGCACAAAAAGGUAGCAGGCAAGAACUAACUCUACAAACUGCCCCUGUUCCCUACACCUGCCUCUGUCCCUGUCUCUCUGACCCUCUCGUGCACACUGUAAAAAUAACAAGUAAAAGUAUACGUAUAAAGAUUUCAUUUAUUCCCUUGGGCUGGGAAGUUCAGGGUAGAGGGCAAGAAUGCCAGCCAUACCCAGUAAUAGGAGAUACCACUUCCUGUAACUGAGGGAUGCUGGGAGGACCUGGCCUCCUGUUAAAUAGGUACCUCAGGCACUCAUCCCCUGGUCUGAAACCCAACACACAGCACGCAUAGAGACUAGAGAACAACUUUCAAGAGUCGGUUGUCUCUUACCUCAUGGGUUCCAGGAAUUCAACUCAGGAACUUAGCUGAUUCACCUUUACCAACCCAAGAUUCCUAAAUAUAGCUGCACCCACGAGGCUUAAGAGGAAGAGAAACACCCAGAAAACAGACAAUGUUGAGAGAAGGGGUGCGGCUAUUCAAAGAGGAGUCAGGGAGCUUAAGACCCAUCUACGGAUGGGCAUGAGCUCCUCGCUGGGGAAUCUUAGCCCAUCGUUGCUUUGUUUCAGCUUUGAGACAGAUUUCUCACUAGCUACGCCUGGCCCAGAACUCACAGGGAUUCACUUGCCUCUGCCUCCUGAGUGUUGGGAUCAAAGGUGUGUGCCACCAAACCCCUCCACAUUGAGAAUCUGAUGGCGAUAUCUUUAAAGGAUUGCUAUAGCUGGGUGGGCCUUAGGAGUCAUCUGAUAGGAUCAUAAUUGAUAAGGUAAAGUCUGGCUCCCAGGGAUGUUUUUACUGCAAGCAAAAUUGACAGGAAUUUGGCUAUUUAUUUAUUUAUUUCUGUUUUUUAAACAUUCUUAAGCAGUGUCCGGGGAAAGGAAUGGGGCCCUGCCCAAGCUUGUAUGUAUUUAGGGAUUGAGCUUGGCUUAUUGUUAUUUUAAUAUGGAAUCUCUAUGUAUGAAAGCAAUAUCAACUCUGUGUCAUCAGCCUUCACACCAAAUAUUUCACUGGGAUUCUUUUUUCUCAAACUGAUGUGAGGGGUCCAUUUCCUUUGCUUUCUUAUAUCUCCAUAAUUUAUAAUUCUUCAUUAAAAAAAUCUUAUUUUAUUUGUAUGGUUGUUUUGUCCUUGUGCAGGUCUGGUGCUCUGGGACUGGGUGGGGUUUCAGAGGGUCGUGAGCCUCCAUUUGGAAACCGGGAGCUGACCCUGGGUACAGUGGAAGAGCAGGCAGCAUUCUUAACUCUGAAUUAUGUCUCUAGCUCAGUCAGCAACCAGGCAUCUUUCUAGCCAGUUCCCCAGGGACCUGGGAACAAGAAGACACAUUGUUGCCCUCGCUGCCUGUCUUCUUGCACGUGCACGGUGGCCCCCAUAAAAAGCUGAGUUUUUCCUCUCCCCACCCCUUCUUCCCCUUCUCCCCCCACAGGCAUCCUCUGUCCCCCACCCUUUUAAUUAAGCUCCCACCUGAGACCUGUUGUAUGAUAUGAUUUUAUUGGACCCCACCACUUAGUUCUAUCAGAGUUUACAUAAGAAUGAAGCAUCGCUCAGGAUGAUAUUCUCAAGUUUCUUCCGUUUGCUGCAACAUUCAUGAUGUUUUUGUUUUUACUAGCUGAAUAGUAUUCCAUUGUGUAGAUAUACCACAUUUUCUGUAUCCAUUCUUUACUUGAGGGACAUCUAGGUUUUGUUCAGUUUUUGGUUAUUAUGAUUAAAGCUACUGUGAGCAUAGUUGAACAAGUAUCUUUGUGAGAUGUUGGAGCACUGUUUGGGGAUAUGCCCAGGAGUGGUUUGUAUAGCUGUAUUUUGAGGUAGAACUAUUCCAAGUUUUCUGAGAAACCACCAAAUUGAUUUUCCAAAGUGGUUGUACAAGUUUGCACUUUCACCAGCAAUGGAGGAGUGUUCCCCUUGCUCCACAUCCUUGCUAGCAUGUGCUAUCUCUUGAGUUUUUUUUUUUUUAAAGAGUUAUUUAUUCAUUUAUUAUAUAUAAGUACACUGUAGCUGUCUUCAGAUACACCAGAAGAGGGCAUCGGAUCUCUUUACAGAUGGUUGUGAGCCACCAUGUGGUUGCUGGGAAUUGAACUCAGGACCUCUGGAAGAGCAGUCAGGUGCUCUUAACCGCUGAGCCAUCUCUCCAGCCCUAUCUCUUGAGUUUUUGAUCUUAGCCUUUCUGAUGGACCCUUGGGGCUCUCAGAGUCUGAACCACCAACCAAAGAACAUGCAUGGGCUGGACCUAGGCCUGCCCACACAUUUGUAGCAGAUGUGCAGCUUGACUUUCAUGUGGGUCCCAGACAACUGGAACAGGGGCUAUUCCAAAAGCUGUUGCCUGUACAUGGGAUAUGUUCUAUCCGGGCAGCCUUAUCAGGUCAUAGUGGUAGAGGAAGCACCUAGCCUUGAAGAGACUUGAAGUACCAGGCUGGGGAGGAUACCAAAGGGGGGCCUAACUGGCUUAGAGGAAAAGGGGAGUGGGGAAUGAGGGAAGGAUUGUAAGGGGGUGACCAGGAGGGGGGCAGUAAGCAGGAUGUAAAGUGAAUAAGCAAUAAAAAAAAAUUAAAAAAAGAAAAAAAGAAUGAAGCACCCGUGGGCUGGUCAGGAUGAGUUGGACAAGCUCAGAAUUGGUCUAGUUCUAAGACGAGGGUGUGGGGUGUUUUAGAGAUGUCUGUCACACUCAAGUCUGGAAGGAAGGUGGUGUUCUGAGGAAUGUGGGUGGUGUGUCUCAGUAAUAGGGAUUGAAUUGUACAUAAGCUGCUUCAUAGAAAGGCUUGCUUGAUUCCUGCAUAGUGUGUGAUACAAUUUGGUAUGAGCUUGAAUAGAAGCUUGGUAUGUGCCAAGGCCAUUGAGAGAGUAUUGACUGGCCUGCCUCCUGUUUCCCCUUUUCGCAUCCUUCCUCCCUCCCUCCCCUCCCUCCCUCCCUCCCCUCCCUCCCUCCCUCCCUUCCUCCCUCCUUCCCUUCCCCUUUUCCCCUCCUCACUUCCUCCAUCCUUCCUUCCCUCACUCCCUCUCUUCCUUCCUUCAUUCUUCCCCACCCUAUCAUGCAUGCUGGAGGUUUGUUAGAUGUAUCAAAUUGAUGUUUUUUGGACGUGUGUCCUUUGGGAUAGAACCCAAAGUUUGGCCUACACUAGGCAAAUUCUCUGUCUCAGCUUCAUGUCUACCGCCAUUACAGUGUUUCUCUAAUGUUUCAGGGUUACCUCUCACAUUGAAAUCCACCAAAAUCUAAUCACCCAGUCCCUCAAAUAUAUUUAAAAUAUAAAAGAUUUUGCAGACAAGAAAAUGGUAUCAUGCACACUCCUCAGUUUCAUCAAGGAAAUUCAUUCUGAUUUAAGACUUCUCCCCCAAAUAAUUCCUGGAUAGAACCCAGGGCUUUACAGAAACUAGACAAGUGUUCACUCUAGAGCCAUGGCCCCAGAUGCUUGCUGUGGACUCUAGAAAGGCACUUGACCACCAAGAGACACCUCUAGACUCUCUGUGGAGAAUUCUAGGCAGGUGCUGUACCUGUUGAACCUUGACAUGGCCUUGAGUCAAGAACUUCUAAUAUAGUUAGGUUCUUAUGUUUUGCAAGUGAGGGAGGAAAGAGACACAAAUGCCCAAAGCCCUGCUCAGGCUCGCAGAUAACCAGUGUCAACAUUAGCAUCAGUCCAACAUGGCUAUUUAAUUAGAAUCCGAUAUACAAAUUUUAGAAGAAUGUAGUGUUCUUGUGCCCCAUUUUUCUCAUCUCUAAAAUGGGGAUAAUAAGGAAAAAGAACCCAUGACGAAAACUGAAAUUUUCUAUAUAUAUAUUGCGGUGAGAGUAAGAACUAGGAUUAAAAGGAGGACUAAAGGUUAAAGUGUCAGAGUCUGGAAUACCAAGGAAGAAGGGUAGUAGCUGGUAUGAGAUAAGCAAACUGAACAGAUAAGAGGAGGGAGAGGGUUCUGGGUCAGUGAUGAUAGGCUGGCUUUCCCAGAGCCUCUGAAGCCCUUGAGACACACGGAAGUCUCACAUAUCAAGACUUCUAAUGCAGCUGUUUGUAACAGAUUAAGUAGUUUUUAAGGCACUUAAAAGAUACUUUUAAGAUAUCUUAAAAGAUAGCUUUUUAAAAUUAAUUGUUUUGUUUGUUUACAUUCCUAGGGGACCCCCUUCCUGGGCCCCCUCCAAGAGUUCUUCAUCCCAUCCCCCAUCUCCUUUGCCUCUGAGACAGUGUUCCCUACUACCCCCAGUCCCCUCAAUCCGCCAACCUCCCACCUCCUUUCCCUGGGGCAUCACAGGGAUUAUGCACACCCUCUCCCACUGAGGCCAGACAAGGCAGUCCUCUCCUACCUAUGUGCCAUGGGCCACAGACCAGUCCAUGUAUGCUUUUUGGUUGGUGGCUCAGUCUCUGGGAGUCUAUACCUAUUGUAGGAGACUACUCCAGACAGAAUACCUAUAAACAAGGAGCUAAAUAGAGACAACCAAGAAGACAGCUGCCUCACCUUUUUGGUUAUGACAGGCAAUUUCACUGCCAUGGUAAAAUGACAAGGGGAUAAGAAUAUUAGGGACAUGUUCCAGGACAGAGGUAGAAACUCCAGCCACUAACCUACAGCUCACAGAGUCAAGCUAAGUAGCUAGCAAAGCAGAGGGGCCUCCAGCCAGCAGUGCAUAACCAUCCAUGGUUGGUGACAGAGCAUGUGGGCCCUGAAUUGGCCGAGCUGAGAGAAUGAACCAACCUCACAUCAGUUAUCUAGGCUGCUGUCUACUCUUUGCUAUGAAAACAAUAGACAAGGACGUUCAAUGGCUUUUCUCUCUCCUGGAAACCCCCACUAUUCUCAGGGGUGUUUCUUCAUUUUUUCCUUAACUUCUCACCUUUCCUCCACUUCUUAGUUUUCUGUAAUUCUUCUUCUUUUUAAAAUCUUAUUUGUUUUGGGUUUUGAAGUCAGGGUCUCUCUCUAUAGUUCUGUCUGACCUCUGAGUCCCUAUGUAGACCAGGUUGGCCUCAAACUCGUAGAGAUCUCCCUGAUGCUGACGCCAGUGCUGGAAUUAAAGGAAUACACCACUAUGACAGCUGGUAAUUCUCCUUAAUAAAGCUGGAGUCUGCCUUGUGUACUCCCAACAGAGUCUGGAUCUUAAACUUCACUGAUGAGAGACAGCAAACUCAGACACAAGCUCAGAUUGAUCAUUGGUGACUACUGGCUCCUUAGGACUGGGACUCAAGCACAGUUGGGCUUUGAAAGGUCUUGUCAGACCCAGAAGCUGCAGCCACCAUGACUGGUCUGUGGGAAAUCUGUGUAGAAUAAAGAGUAAGCAUAGGGGAAUAUCCUGUAGAAUUGAUUCUCUAGUACAUUGUACUUUUAUCCGUCAAGGUCUUUUAUUUUUUAGGGAGGGUCUCCCUUUGUAUUGCCCAUACAGGUCUUGAACUCUUGUACUCAAAUGAUCCUCGCACCUUAGCUCUGGAGUAGAUGGAGCUAUGGGUAUAUGCUACUUACUACACUUUACCUAAAACCAAACAGACUUAAUUAUUUUAUGAGGGUUUUGCUUUAAUGUAUGUCUGUGCACACGAGAGCAGGACAUCAGAUUCCUUGGGUUCCCUUGGUUGUUGUCUGCUAAGAACUCAAUUGGAUUCUUUGGGAGAACAGUCAGCGUAAGUUCCCGCUGUUUAAAAAUUGGAGACAUAAAUUAAUCCCUCAACCUAUGGCAGCUACAGUGUAGCACAAAUGUAAGUCUGAAUUAAGGAACUCUUGCCACCUAGUGGCCAUUUGGGGAAUAACAGUUUUAAAAAAAUGAUUUAGUCUCUCAUCCUAACCUCAGCCUCUCCUCCUUCCCUUCCUCUCAACCACUUACAACCUCCCCACUCUCCCUGGUGCAUUGCCCUUCUAUUUUCCUUCAGAAAAGAGCGGGCCUCCCAGUUAUACCAACUGAAUUUGUCAUAAUAAGAUGCAAGGACAUAUCAACGCUGUAGCAACUCAGUAGGAGAAAAUGGUUCCUAUAAGCAGGCAAAAGGAGCAAAGAUAUCUCCAUACCGAUUGUUUGGAGUCCAAUAAAAAUCCCAAGUUAAAGAAUCACAGAAUGUGCGAAGAAGAGCCUGGUGCAGACGCAUGCAGGCGCUAUGGUUGCCGCUUCAGUCUCCGUGGGUCCCUAAUGAGCCCUGCUUAGUUGAUUCUGUGGACCGUGUUCUCUGGUGUCUUCUCUGCUCCUGGUUCCUACAAUCAUUCCUCCUCUUCUGUGGGUUUCUCGGAGCUUCACCUAAAGCUUGGGCGUUGGUCUUUGUAUCUGCUCCCACUGGCUGCUCGAGGAAGCCUCUCUAUGACAGUACUGCCAAGAAUACGCAUAGGGGAAUACCGUUAGUGAUCAUUUCAUUGACCUUUUUAGUUUUGGGUCAGUAGCGUUUGGUUCUACCCUUGGUCUCUGAGUCAUCCAGGUUUUGGAUCCUGGCCACCUAGGCAGUGGGCUCCAUGCAUGGGCUCCUUCGGGUGGUGUGGUCCUUAGGUUAGACCAGGCAUUGAUUGGGCAAGCUCUGAGCCACCAUUACCCCAGCUCAUCUUGUAGGCAGGGCAGGCUGUGGGUCAUAGAUUUUUAUGGCUGGGUUGGUGUCCCAGUCCUACCACCGGGAGUACCUAGUUUAGGCUCCAAAUCCUCCCUUACCAGGAGUCAUCACUAGGUUCAGCCUCAUAGGUUUCCACUGUACUAGGUUUCCAUAUUGUCCCCUAAAUAUCCACCUAUUUCAGUCAUCUCUCCUUGUACUCUCCCCUACUUGAGCCCUCCUGUUCCCAUCCCUACCUGCCCUUAAUCCACCCACAAAAUCUAUUCUAUUUCUCCUUCCUAGGGAGAUCCAUGUGUCACCACUGGACUUCUCUUUAUUUAACUUCUCUGGAUCUGCAGGUAGUAGCUUGAUUAUCCUUUAUUUAAUAGCUAAUAUCAAUAUUAUGCCAUGUUUGUCUUUCUAGAUCUGGGUUGCUCACUCAGGAUGAUUUUUCUCUAGAUCCAUCCAUUUGCCUGUAAAUUUCAUGAUGUCAUUUUUUCCCCCUAACAGCUCAGUAAUACUCCAUUGUGUAAAUGUCUUAGUUAGGGUUUUACUGCUGUAAAUAGACACCAUGUCCAAGGCAACUCUUAGAAGGACAACAUUUAAUUGAGGAUAGCUUAUAGGGUCAGAGGUUUAGUUCAUUAUCAUCAAGGCAGGAACAUGGCAACAUGCAGGCAGGCAUGGUGCAGGAGGAGCUGAGAGUUCUACAUCUUUAUCUAUUGCUAGCAGAAUACUGCCUUUCAGUAGCUAGGACGGGGGUAUUAAAGCCCACACCUAGAGUAACAUGCCUAUUCCAACAGGGCUACAUUUCCUAUAGUGCCACUCCCUGGGCCAAGCAUAUACAAACUAUCACAUUCUACUCCCUGACUCCCAUCCACUUGUUCAAAUGCACAGGUCUAUGGAGGUCAUACCUAUCCAUAGCAUAGUAAAAGAACACAUUUAGUCCAACUUCCAAACCCUCAUGGUCUAUAGCAGUUACAACAAUGUUAAAAGUCCAAAGUUCAAAGUCUCUUCUGAGAUUUAUCCAAUCCCUCAACUUGUAAUGUCCAAAGCAAGACAGGAAACCAGCUGGGCAAACUCCAAACUCUGCAUCCCCAUGUCUGGUGUCAAAGCAGUUUUCAGAUCUCCACCUCCUUUUUCAUCUUUGUUGACUGCAACAAACUUCUUUCUCCUGAGCUGGUUCUGUGAGGCCAAACCUUGGGACAGGCCUCCAUCUUAAAGAAAAAACAAACAAACAAACAAACAAACAAACAAACAAAAAAGCCUGAGAACUUGACCUGCAGCUGAACCCAAGCUGCACCUAGUACCAGGAAGGACUCCUUGGCUUGUCCUUGACCCAUACCCCAGAUUCAGUCCCUAGCUACUUCCUAGCAACAGUCAAUCAAAGGUUAGUCUGACUGUUUCAGAUGUGCUUUCAGCCCGUUUGUGACUGUAUGUUUGCUUCCGAUCACCCACCUGUCGGCUUAUAGUCAUUCUAUUAGAUACUUGCCAGAGUGGACACCCCCUCCUUCACUCCCUCCCCCGCCUUGCUCCUAUUUUCCUGUAAAAACUGCUGAGGAGGAGUCUGCUCUGCCUUCUUUUCCUGUACUCCUGUGUCAGGGUUGGGUUAGAGGAGAGCCCAAGUCUGAACUUGUAAUAAAGAGGCCCUAAUGCUAUAACAUUGGAAACGGCUCCUUAUUGUUCUUUUGGGGUUCAUGAACGCUUCCUGGGACAACAUUUUGGUGCAUUGGCCGGGAACUCCAAGGCCUCCAGGACUGGACGCAGAGUUCCUCAAUACCAGUAAUGUUCAUCUUAGUCUGUGAGCCUGUCCAUGUGUUUAUGUAGCGCUGUGGUAAUUUUGUCUGUGUCUGUGCAGUGUCGGUCUUUGUUCAUAAAUUCUGAGCGGUGCCACAUCUAUAAUUCUGUUCUGAAAAGAGGCCUAAGAAGGUAUUUUGUGGUCAGAUGCAACUGGGUAGAUGUGACAAAGGGUUGUGACCGCUCAGGGGCUGGAAGACGUUCUGGGCCCUGAUCAGGAGGUCUCAGUGUCUCACUCUGGGUGGGGUGCUUGAGUUGACCGUCUGGUUACAGAUCUGCUUCGGUUCAUGUUUGUCAUCAACUCUGUUUGAGCUAACUGUUGUGUACUUUCAUUUUUCUUAUUAUGGGGCAACUUUGACUUUGAUGGAUGAUGUUGGGUCUACAGGAUCUGCCCUCUGGGCUUAAACUUUUUCUCCCUGGAUGUUUGUGCCUUGGCUAGCAAAAAGCCCAAGGGUAUGAAGGAGGAGACACCAGACCACCUAUCUCUUCCUACACUAUCACUCCACCUGGUCUUCCAAGGAGGGGCAGAGGAAGAUGUCAUUUUUUCACACCCACCUUAUUCAACCCCUCAGGCAGAAUGGCAGCAGCUGCAGGCAGCCCUGCCUUCUGAUUAUGAGUCUGCCAUCCUGCCUUCCCAUGCAUCAGGGCUGGUUGGUGACCAAGGAAACCAACCUCAUCACUAUUGGCCCUUUGCUACCAGUGACCCUUUUCUACCGGAGAACUCAGAACUCCCCUCUUUUUCAGACAACCCUCGAGGUUUAAUUAAUUCCUUAGAGACAGUCCUUUUCACCCACCAGCCCGCUUGAGAUGAUUGUAAAGAGGUCUUGCAGGCUUUCUUCACCACAGACAGAAGCCAGGAAGCUGGUUCCUGGCCCCAGAGGGAAACCUACCCAGAUUAGGACUUCAUUACUGCUAAAGGUAAGCAGAGACUCUAAGUCUUACUGCCAGGCUCUGAUUGGUAGGUCUCAAAGUGGCUGUGAGACAGCCAUUAAUUUGGCCAAAAGAUAAUCGAAAACAGUGCUAGCUGUAGCCUUUAUUAAUCAAUCAGACAGGAAACUCUAAAGGGUUCAAGGACUUAAAAAAUAAUGGCAGAAAAAGUGUUUAUUAAAGAUAAAAAAAAAAGGACAGGGUAAAAGAACAUAAGAAACAGACUCUGAGUACGUGUGUGUAUAUUGGCACAUAUGUACCAUAGUGUGCAUGAAGUCAGAGAACAACUUUUGGGACUUGGUUCUCUCCUACCAUGUGUGUUUCAGGGAUUUCACACAGGUGGUCAUGCUUGGAGACAAGUGCCACCUCACUGGCCCCUCUCCAUAUUAUAUUUUUGAGGCAAAGUCUCUCUGAAUCUAGGGUUCUGUGAUUGGCUAGACUGACUGCUCAGUGAGCUCUGAAGAUUCUCUUGCCUCUACUCCCUCAGUUCUGGGGUUAUAGAUGUGUACUACCACACCUAACUAAGCUGUAUUUACCUUGUCCCCCAACUCCUUCCAGAUCUAUUCUCUUUACACUCACCUCCUCGCUAUACAGCUUCCUGUUGUCUUCCUCCUCUUCCUCUUUGUGGUGGUUUGAAUAGAUUUGGCUCCUAGAGACUCAUAUGUUUGAAUGCUUGGUCCAUGGGGAAUGGCACUAUUAGGAGGUGUGGCCUUGUUGGAGAAAGUAUGUCACUGUAGGGGUGGAUUUUGAGGUCCUAGGCUGAAGAUCCACGUAGUGUGGAAUUUCAGAACCUUCUCCUGCCUGCCUGCAGAAGGUUGGCUCCUCCUGGAUGCAUUUGAAUCAAGAUGUAGAACUCUCAGUUCCUUCUCUAGCAUCAUGUCUGCCUAGAUGCUGCCAAACUUCCCACCAUAAUGAUAAUGGAUUGAACCUCUGAAACUGUAAGU